GUGCUCGCUUUGGUGGCACGUGCGCUAACAGUGGCACAAGACAGAGAAGACUAGCAAUGGCCCAGUGCAAGGAAGACCCUCAAAUUCUAACUGUGAAUACUCUG
rnacentral:snRNA from 1 species